CUGAUAUUGAUAUUAUUUCAAUCAAUGAAACAAAACUUGAUUCUUCAAUUAAGGAUAAUGAGGUUUAUAUACCUGGUUAUGAAAUAGUAAGAAAGGAUAGAAAAAUAAAUGGACGACAUGGGGGUGGUGUUUGUAUCUAUAUAAGAUGCAAUCUUAACUACAAAAUUUGUAAAGAUUUAAGCUCUGAUGAAUUAGAGUAUCUAACUGUAGAAAUUACUAAACCUCGAACUAGAUCACUAUUAAUUAGUACCUGGUAUAGGCCCCCAGACUCACCAGUGUGCCAUUUUGAUCACUUUGAGAAAAUAGUAGAGAAAGUUGAUGCGACAAAUCAUGACUAUUUCCUCCUAGGCGACAUAAACGUGGAUCUUAUGCCGGGUGUAACAUCAGUCAAUGGAAAUAAAUCAGUGAAUGAUAUAUUCG